AUCUUUCUAAUGCAUCUUUUAGAGUUGUCAUUUUAUAUAAAAUUCAACUUUUCUAUUAGAUUCAGAUAAUAAAUGCCAAUAUCUUAAGAAUAUUAAAAUUUAAAAAAUAAAUUGAAUUAGAAAAUUGAACUAAAUUGUACUAAAAAUUGUACUAAAAAUUUUGAGGUUAAUUUUGAUCCAAAUUGAAUAUAUUUUUGGAACAUUGAUUAUAAUUAAUGCAAUUCAAAAAUAAUUAAAAUAUGAACGCAAAAAAAUACUGUAAUAUAUAUAUACACGUAUUUUGUUCAUUAUUUAAUCACAGAAUAGAUUUAAAUAAAAUUGAUAGAACUAUAUAGACUUGAUUUUUUUGAUUCUUUUAAAAAGACAAAAAAAAAAAGAUAAAUAUUUUUUACAUUUAUGUCAUCCAAUUUAUAUGUGUGUAGUAGGUAAAAAUAGAAGUCAAUAAUAGAAGCCAAUUUGGUAAUCACAACAGAUAUUAUAAUAAAUCGUAUCUUUACAGAGGCAGAUACAUUGUAAAACGAACAAGGAUACUUUCACGAAAUAUACACGCAGUCGUACAUUGAUUCAGGAAUCGAUCAGCGAUACUAUGUACAACACAACCACGGAAGCGUGCACGAUGUUGAAGUAAUUCGCAGAUAAUGCGGUUGCACUUUUCUCAAAUUUGGCACGCGGUGCAUCUGUCGUAUAUUAUUUCCAUUUGUAUUUUUAUCCCUUUUCCCUUAUUCCAGUGUUUUUGUGUGCUCACGUAACAAAUUAAACAAUCUUAAAUGCACUAUAAUCUCUUUCAGUGAGCCAAGACACUGGAAUAUGUCUCAACUGAUGCCUGUUCUUUCCAUUUUUUUAUAAUAAAUUUUCCAAAAUAAACAUUAUUUGAUAAACUACCGAGAGAAUAAACAGAUUAGUUUUGCAACAGAUCGAAAAUGUUUAAGGUUAGAAACAGAAACCAGUCAAGAUGAUUUCUAUUUUAAUUUAGAUCCUUUAGAUCCUAGCCAAAUAAAUUUAAACGAAUAGUUAACUUACAUGCGUAAGUUAUAUGUAAGUACAAUAUGAAAGAAAAAAAAUGUAAAAAAUAAAAAAAAAAUAAAAGAAAAUAAUAAGUA